ensembl:snRNA U6 U6 spliceosomal RNA
GUACUCACUUUAGCAGCACAUAAACUAAAAUUGGAAUGAUACAGAGAUUAGUGUGCCCCUGUGCAAGGAUGACAUACAAAUUUGUGAAGUCAUUCAGAUUUUU